UAUUAGUUUGGUGCAAAAGUAAUUGUGAGUUUUGCCAUUGAAAGAAAUGGCAAAACUCACAAUUACUUUUGCACCAAGCUAAUA
rnacentral:pre_miRNA from 1 species